UGAGGUUGAAGAUGACCGUUUCCGCAUUUUUCAAAUUUGAAUAUGUGUUGGCACUCUAUGAUUGGUUGCUUCGUGUGUGUAUUUCAUUUACCUUGUAUUUUUAUUAUUUAUUUGCUCAUCAUGUUUUCUUGAGACAACAGGGCCAUUGGCCCAAUGGGUGAGGGGAUAGAUUCUCCCAUGAGCCCAAGGUCGGGGGUUUGAACCUAAUGUGUGCACCCUUACCACAUUUUUCACUUUUAUGUUAUUUUGUUUAUUUUAUUUUUC
rnacentral:lncRNA from 1 species